AGCAGUCGCCGCGGUAAUACGUAGGUGGCAAGCGUUGUCCGGAAUUAUUGGGCGUAAAGGGCUCGCAGGCGGUUUCUUAAGUCUGAUGUGAAAGCCCCCGGCUCAACCGGGGAGGGUCAUUGGAAACUGGGAAACUUGAGCGCAGAAGAGGAGAGUGGAAUUCCACGUGUAGGGUGAAAUGCGUAGAGAUGUGGAGGAACACCAGUGGCGAAGGCGACUCUCUGGUCUGUAACUGACGCUGAGGCACGAAAGCGUGGGGAGCAAACAGGAUUAGAUACCCCUGUAGUCCCUGUCUCUUAUACC
rnacentral:rRNA from 1 species